rnacentral:sRNA from 1 species
AUACGGUAUCAGGCGUGAAGGAUUUGAACCUGCAGCAGGUUCGAGUAGAGCAAAGCGAAACAACGUUGCUGGUUGCAACGGGCCGAAGGCCGAGGCGUAGCCGAGUUAUCCUGCACGACCCACCA